rnacentral:lncRNA from 1 species
UUGCUAGGGAGAUUUCACACAUGUCCAGGUUCCUUAACACUUGUAUAAUCAUUUUAGGUGGCCAGAUAUUAGGAGACAACAGUUCAGUCCUUGACUUCGGCAAAGAAGAACCAGAGGAAGUGGACAUCAAAGCAGAGCCGCAAGAGUUCUUCCUGAUACCUGUGUGUGUGAAGAGUGAAGAGGAGGAGCCAGAGUCUUCUCUCCUUCAUCAAACAGUGGAAGAGGAGACCAGAGAGGACGCUGAAGGAGCAGGUUCAGACAAACAUCCAGAGAGUGAAGAACAUGGAGAGAGUUCUUCUGACACUGACGACUCUUCAGACUGGACUCCUUCAGCUGAAAGGCCCACUCCACAAACUCACACUCAGGUGUCCAGAUUUUCCAAGACAACAGUUCAGUCUUCACUUCAAGAAGAAGAACCAGAGGAAGUGGAAAUCAAAGCAGAGCCACAAGAGUUUCCACUGAUAACUGUGUGUGUGAAGAGUGAAGAGGAGGAUCCAGAGUCUUCCCUUCUGCAUCAAACAGUGAAAGAGGAGACCAGAGAGGACGCUGAUGGAGCAGGUUCAGACAAACAUCCAGAGAGUGAAGAACAUGGAGAGAGUUCUUCUGACACUGACGACUCUGCAGACUGGACUCCUUCAGCUGAAAGGCCCACUCCACAACUCACACUCAGGUCAACAAACAGCUGCAAGGACCAGCUCACAGGACUCAUGUUAGUAAAGAUGGAGUGACACUGUAGCCAAGUGCCACACAUGUUCCCACUGUGGAAAGGGAUUUGUAUUCCUCUCCAAAUUAAGAAUUCAUGAACGGAUUCACACAGGAGAGAAACCACACAAAUGUUCAGUCUGUGGAAAAGGUUUUAUACAAAACCAAAUCUAGACCGACAUAUGAAUACUCACACUGGAGAGAAACUAUUCAAGUGUUCAGUCUGUGAUAAAGGUUUUACUAAAAAACCUGAUCUAAAAUACACAUUAGAAGUCAUACAGGGGAGAGACCGUACAGAUUCAUGUUCA